GUAGGAGUUAGUGACAAGGAGGGCUCGCUCUUGGGGCUAGUGGUGGGGAGGCAGUGGCCAGUUCAGGGCUCAGAUGAGAGAGGUGGCAGAAUUAGAGGCAGCCACUAGGAUGGGGGUGCGAGGAGAAGCGGGGCUAAGUAUAAAGGAGACUAGAUUUUGGGACAGUGGACGUGUGGAAGGCAGCUUCCAAAGCGCCUUUAACAAUCCACAAAGAACCAGCAGCUUUCAAGACCAGGCUAUCCCUGCUGUCUGCUGGCACUUGACGUCCAGGAGGGCACAAGUUUCACAGGCCUACAUGGGGGCAGUGUCCUAACUUGAGUGGCAGAGCAGCAGUUGAUGGAGACGGGUGGACUGGGGGCCCUUGAAGGCCCCGGAAAUCAUAGAGGACAGGCAGUGGGGCAGGACUAGGUGCGUAGUGGAGGUCGCCUUUGAUCUUGACAAAACCAGCAGACCCCUUUUUUUCCAGAUAAGGGGUUGUGAACCCACCUGGGGAUGAGGCCUGGUCUUAUGGAAGGUGGACUUAGCUUCGCUGGGCGGACAGCUCUGGCCCAGGGUGGUAUGUAAUUUGGGUGUGGCCUGUCUGCACCCACUUCGGGGUGCGAGGGGAGGCCGGAGGAGGCUGCAGAGACAAGUUGUUUUUACUGUCAGGUCUGCCAGGCGGGGACCAUGGAGAUUGAAGGCGCAAGUCUUGGGGCCACAUUAAUCACAACUUUAUUUUUCAGAUAGCAGUGCCCUCUCUGGACUUUGCCUAGGUUCCGUGCUUCCUCUUCUGUGGUCUCACUCUUCCCUACUCUUGCCCCUCACUCUGAGGUUAAGGGGUCACUUAAAACCUUGCCCCUGGGUCGUCCGGUAAGCCUGUGGAGGAUGUAGAGUCGGUGCUGGAGUCUUGGGCACGGCAUUUUGGUAAAGGUGGAGGACACCCUGACUGGGCGGGGAGGGAUGGUGUUGAUUCACAGAGGGCGGGACGUGAGUGUGGACCCUGGGGUGGGCUCACAGCCAUGUUUCCGGUCACCCAAAUGCUUCAUGGACGUGGUUUAUCACUAUAGUGUUCACCAUGGCAAGCAGAUGGCACCAGGAGAUAUGGAGCCCCUGCCAGUGUGAGUCGUAGCAGUGCAGGAGGGCUCACCCUGGAGGAGACAGCGGCCUCGGUUGACGCCUACACAGUGAAUUCCAGAGGCUUAGGAAGCGCGUCCCUGCCCUGGGUCCAGGCCUUUCUCAGGAAGCCCUGUGCUCAGGAGGCCAUCGUUGAAGUCAGCUUGUAGGGGGUGGGCAGGUGCUUCCAGCCGGAGGGGCCGUCGGCUGUGAAUGUUCCAGAUGAAUGUCUUGUUCUGGGAGCAUCAUUCUUUGCGGAUGCAUGAAUGGCAGCAGGCACCCUUUUUCAUGGGGGUAGAGGCGUUCGACUGCUGCAUCUUCUAAACAAGCCUCCAUCCAGCCUUUGUAGUUCUGUGCUGCGAACUUGGCCUCGAGAAGAUUGCGUAAGGUGUAGGACACUUUAACGUCUGCGCAGCGUGCUGCACUGUAGAUCGGGACCCCAGUGACCUCGCCCACCUUCCCUGCUUCUGCAGCCUGCCUGCCUCUGCAUUGGUCAGAGGGAUUCUUAACUGAAAACUUGUGGGUGUUGGGGAAAGCUGUUGGGUUGUAAAUGACUGGUGUGGAGGAAUCUUCCUUAGAUGGAGCUGGUUGUAAAAUGGGUAGGGUUUGUGGUUUAACAGUGGGAAGGCGCAAGUUAGCCACAAAUUCUGCCGACUUGGUAGAUGCCGUAUCUAAUUUGGGCUUUGGGACGUCUUCUGGACUAAAAGGGAUCCGUGGGCCCGAAGUGGUCCCUGGGAAUGGUCUCUCCCAGGGUGUGGAUUUGAUACUGGGUGGUUGAGUGGCAACAGUGGUUCUGGCCCCUUUUGUUCAUUAGCUUUUAUGACUUAGGGCCUGGCUGUGUAUACCAGGCUGGCCUGGGUUCACAGCCCUGCUCAGAUGACAGUGUCCUGAAACAAUGGCCUUCCAAGGUGAAACCUGAGUUAUGGAUCAAGCUUGGGAAUAAUACUUUUGGCACCAGAUAUGGGACUUGUGGGAGAAAGCAGGGCUCAGCUUGGCAUUGGUGGGUUGAAGGAGUCGGGGUGCGGGUGAGGAUUGUGCCUGGAACCGUGGGUUGAUGGGAAUAACAGUUUGGGAACUAAAUAGUUCACAUGAAAAUCUAAAGGCUGAUGGUAAAUCCCUGCAGGUGGCACUACUUUGAGAUGCAGUUGCUUGGAAAAUACCAAAAUCCUACAAGGGGAAGAGCAAAAUUGUUUUGCUUCACUGUUGAAUGGGGAAGGGUGACAUUGAAAAGCUUUUCUUAGUUGCUCAAUAGAUGGUUGUCACUACCCUGACCUAGGCAGGCCACAGGGGUGGAGCCUGGUGGGGGGAAGCUGAUUGCCAAGAAGUGAAGCUGGGGAGGGGCUUGUAAACGCCUCCCGUUGUGGGCUCUGAAACCAUAGUAUGGGGAGGUUGGCAGACUCUUCUGGGUCUCUAUUGAAAUUCUGUCAUACUGUGUGAUUAAGAAUUCCAAUGCUGCUAUCUAAAGGAAUUUCAUAUGGGAGUCAUGCCUUAUACAACACAUACAGGAAUUUAAUGUGUGAGCCAUGCCUUCAAAACACAUCUUGAAUUUCUGGAAUUGGCCAGAAGACAACAGGGUUUGCUUAUUUAACCUUUCAAAUCAGUCAUUGUGACAAGGGGACAGGGUCUUGCGCUUGCUAUGAGAUCAUUGUGAUGCUUGUAGAAACCUCAUGAGUGCUUUGCCACUGAAUACAUCCAUUGUGGGUUUGGCUUGAAUGGUGCUUAAAAACCAUCCCUGAGCAGAGGGGAAGCUGUUAAACUGUCAGUCAAAGCAGUUUGGGAAAUAAAAGAGACUGGGCCCUGGGUCAUCUUACUAGAUAACACUUUGUAAAAAUUGGUUCUGAAAACCCUGUUUAUUUGCAUAUUUGUGAAAACCCUGUAUAUGUGGUUGUUUUGUGAGUGUGCUUAAAAGUGGUGUGACCAGGGCAAGAUCGCUCAUUGGAACAGCUGUGUGGAAUGGGGAAAUGUGAAGAAAGCUGUAACUGCAGGUUGGUCGCACACGCUUCUCUGUACUAAAGUGUUCAGUGUACAAACCCACUAACCAUUUUCCUCCCCUUUACAGCAAAAUAAAGGUUUGAGAUUGAAGCUUCUUAGAAAAAAA
rnacentral:lncRNA from 1 species